GCAGCACGGGGGCAACCCUGGUGGCGAGUGGCGAACGGGUGAGUAACAUAUCGGAACGUGCCCUGGAGUGGGGGAUAACUAGUCGAAAGAUUAGCUAAUACCGCAUACGAUCUACGGAUGAAAGUGGGGGAUCGCAAGACCUCAUGCUCGUGGAGCGGCCGAUAUCUGAUUAGCUAGUUGGUGGGGUAAAGGCCUACCAAGGCAUCGAUCAGUAGCUGGUCUGAGAGGACGACCAGCCACACUGGGACUGAGUCACGGCCCAGACUCCUACGGGAGGCAGCAGUGGGGAAUUUUGGACAAUGGGCGCAAGCCUGAUCCAGCAAUGCCGCGUGAGUGAAGAAGGCCUUCGGGUUGUAAAGCUCUUUUGUCAGGGAAGAAACGGUGGAGGUUAAUACCUUCUGCUAAUGACGGUACCUGAAGAAUAAGCACCGGCUAACUACGUGCCAGCAGCCGCGGUAAUACGUAGGGUGCAAGCGUUAAUCGGAAUUACUGGGCGUAAAGCGUGCGCAGGCGGUUGUGCAAGACAGAUGUGAAAUCCCCGGGCUCAACCUGGGAAUUGCAUUUGUGACUGUACGGCUAGAGUGUGUCAGAGGGGGGUAGAAUUCCACGUGUAGCAGUGAAAUGCGUAGAGAUGUGGAGGAAUACCGAUGGCGAAGGCAGCCCCCUGGGAUAACACUGACGCUCAUGCACGAAAGCGUGGGGAGCAAACAGGAUUAGAUACCCUGGUAGUCCACGCCCUAAACGAUGUCUACUAGUUGUCGGGUCUUUAUUGACUUGGUAACGCAGCUAACGCGUGAAGUAGACCGCCUGGGGAGUACGGUCGCAAGAUUAAAACUCAAAGGAAUUGACGGGGACCCGCACAAGCGGUGGAUGAUGUGGAUUANUUCGAUGCAACGCGAAAAACCUUACCUACCCUNGAC
rnacentral:rRNA from 1 species